UACGGAGGGUGCAAGCGUUAUCCGGAUUCACUGGGUUUAAAGGGUGCGUAGGCGGGUUAGUAAGUCCGUGGUGAAAUCUCCAAGCUUAACUUGGAAACUGCCGUGGAUACUAUUAACCUUGAAUGUUGUGGAGGUUAGCGGAAUAUGUCAUGUAGCGGUGAAAUGCAUAGAUAUGACAUAGAACACCAAUUGCGAAGGCAGCUGGCUACACAAAUAUUGACGCUGAGGCAACGAAAGCGUGGGGAUCAAACAGG
rnacentral:rRNA from 1 species